UACAGAGGUCUCAAGCGUUGUUCGGAUUCAUUGGGCGUAAAGGGUGUGUAGGUGGCGCCGUAAGUCGGGUGUGAAAUUUCGAGGCUUAACCUCGAAACUGCAUUCGAUACUGCGGUGCUUGAGGACUGGAGAGGAGACUGGAAUUCAUGGUGUAGCAGUGAAAUGCGUAGAUAUCAUGAGGAAGACCAGUGGCGAAGGCGGGUCUCUGGACAGUUCCUGACUCUGAGACACGAAGGCCAGGGGAGCAAACGGG
rnacentral:rRNA from 1 species